rnacentral:rRNA from 1 species
AUAGUGGCGAACGGGUGAGUAACACGUGGGUAACCUGCCCAUAACGAGGGGGAUAACGAUCCGGAAACGGGUGCUAAUACCGCAUAGUUUUCUUGAUCGCAUGAUUGAGAAAGGAAGACGGCCUUGUGCUGUCGCUUAUGGAUGGACCCGCGGCGUAUUAGUUAGUUGGUGAGGUAACGGCUCACCAAGACGAUGAUACGUAGCCGACCUGAGAGGGUGAUCGGCCACAUUGGGACUGAGACACGGCCCAAACUCCUACGGGAGGCAGCAGUAGGGAAUCUUCCGCAAUGGACGAAAGUCUGACGGAGCAACGCCGCGUGAGUGAAGAAAAGGUUUUCGGAUCGUAAAACUCUGUUGUCAGAGAAGAACAAGUUGGAGAGUAACUGCUCCAGCCUUGACGGUAUCUGACCAGAAAGCCACGGCUAACUACGUGCCAGCAGCCGC